CAUUAACAUGUAAACAAUGUCACACUGAAGACACAUGGCAAUGACCUACCACGUUGAAAAUAUCUUCUACAAUCUUCAACUGGAGAAUUUUCAAAUGCAGACAUGACUCCUUCCUAUUUGGUCACAGUUAGGCAUCUCGUUGCAGAAGAACAAUGCCUGAGAAUGAUAGAAAAUUGGAAAUGAAUGGUAACUUUGGACUGCUAGAUACUGCAGAAAGCACAUGGACAUCAGUCUCUACAGCAGGGAUCUGGGACUGUAGAGAAGCUCAAAGAAUACCGCAGGUAGGAUCAACAAAGUUAUUUCAGCUGAAGUAUCACCCAUGGGAUUCAGAAGUUAGAUAAAAGACUGCAGAUUAGAAGCUGAAGCAAAAAUAUAAUAACUCAGGAGAAGUUAAUGUAAUACUAAUGACUAUAACACCUCAGUGCCCUGUGCUGACAUCAUUCAACAGACAUGAAUACCUUGUUAUAGUUGUUCUUAUCUCUACUGCAGAAGUUAUUAAGUCUGUGCUAUACUGGAACAAAGAAGUCUUAUUAGUCUAGAUUCACUGAAUGAUUUCUUUUACCCAUUUUUUUUUUAAUAACUCCUCUGCUGCUGGUUCU